rnacentral:rRNA from 1 species
CCUACGGGUCGCACCAGUGGGGAAUAUUGCACAAUGGGCGCAAGCCUGAUGCAGCCAUGCCGCGUGUGUGAAGAAGGCCUUCGGGUUGUAAAGCACUUUCAGCGAGGAGGAAGGUGGUGAGCUUAAUACGCUCAUCAAUUGACGUUACUCGCAGAAGAAGCACCGGCUAACUCCGUGCCAGCAGCCGCGGUAAUACGGAGGGUGCAAGCGUUAAUCGGAGUUACUGGGCGUAAAGCGCAUGCAGGCGGUUUGUUAAGUCAGAUGUGAAAUCCCCGGGCUCAACCUGGGAACUGCAUUUGAAACUGGCAAGCUAGAGUCUCGUAGAGGGGGGUAGAAUUCCAGGUGUAGCGGUGAAAUGCGUAGAGAUCGGGAGGAAUACCGGUGGCGAAGGCGGCCCCCUGGACGAAGACUGACGCUCAGGUGCGAAAGCGUGGGGAGCAGACAGGAUUAGAUACCCGAGUAGUC